GUGGGGAAUUUUGCGCAAUGGGCGAAAGCCUGACGCAGCAACGCCGCGUGUGUGAUGAAGGUCUUCGGAUUGUAAAGCACUUUCGACCGGGACGAAAAAUCAUUGGCUAACAUCCAAUGCCUUGACGGUACCGGGAGAAGAAGCACCGGCUAACUCUGUGCCAGCAGCCGCGGUAAUACAGAGGGUGCAAGCGUUGUUCGGAAUUAUUGGGCGUAAAGCGCGUGUAGGCGGCUUUGCAAGUCGGGUGUGAAAGCCCUCGGCUCAACCGAGGAAGUGCGCCCGAAACUGCAGAGCUUGAGUACCGGAGAGGAUGGCGGAAUUCCCCAAGUAGAGGUGAAAUUCGUAGAUAUGGGGAGGAACACCGGUGGCGAAGGCGGCCAUCUGGACGGAUACUGACGCUGAGACGCGAAAGCGUGGGGAGCAAACAGGAUUAGAAACCCCUGUAGUCC
rnacentral:rRNA from 1 species